rnacentral:misc_RNA from 1 species
GAUGAAGAACGCAGCGAAAUGCGAUAAGUAAUGUGAAUUGCAGAAUUCAGUGAAUCAUCGAAUCUUUGAACGCACCUUGCGCCCUUUGGCCAUUCCGAAGGGCAUGCCUGUUUGAGUAUCAUGAACACCUCAACUCUUUAUGGUUUUCCAUGAUGAGCUUGGACUCUGGGGGUUUUGCUGGCUCACAGUCGGCUCCUCUAAAAUAAAUCAGCUUACCAGUGUUUGGUGGGUAACAUGGGUGUGAUAACUAUCUACGCUUGUGGUUUUUCCACCAGGUAACCUUCAGCAGUGGAGGUUCGCUGGAGCUCAUAGAUGUCUCUCCUCAGUGAGGACAGCUCUUUGAACGUUUGAUCUCAAAUCAGGUAGGACUACCCGCUGAACUUAAGCAUAUCAAUAAGCGGAGGA